GUCAAGCAUAUUUCUACUACCUUUCUUUACCAAUUUUCACCACCAUAUUUAUAUCUCUGCCAAACUGUGACUUUCAAUGACCAUAAUUUUCAAAGUCUCUUAAACAUAAAAUCUCAAGAAUGUUACAUAACAUAUGCACUGAUAUUCAUUUUGACAGGCAAAGAACAUAAAAGUUCAUACCACCGCACAGAACUGGCGCACGUCACCACGCUGAACCGCCGUGCAUCCUACUCUCAAAUCGCCGCGACCCACACGAUCUCACUUUCCGACACGAAGCCAACUCCCUCCGCGCAUCGCGAUUGA